AUAAUAUAUGAUGAUGAGAUGGCUCACUUUAUCCUCAACGGCUUUGAUUUUGAGUAUAAUCCAUUCGUAAAAUCGAUGUUUGGUCGUGUUGGAUCUGUUUCCUUGAGUGAACUGUACUCUCAGAUCCUAGCCUAUGAU
rnacentral:snoRNA from 1 species